GUGUUGACUUUGGCAGUACAUAUACUAAAAUUGGAACAAUAUAGAGAAGAUUAGCAUGGACCCUGUGCAAGGAUGGCAAGCAAAUUCAUGAAGCGUUCCAUAUUUUU